rnacentral:rRNA from 1 species
AUUGAACGCUGGCGGCAUGCCUUACACGUGCAAGUCGAACGGUAACAGGUCUUCGGAUGCUGACGAGUGGCGAGCGGGUGAGUAAUACAUCGGAACGUGCCUAGUAGUGGGGGAUAACUACUCGAAAGAGUGGCUAAUACCGCAUGAGAUCUACGGAUGAAAGCAGGGGAUCGCAAGACCUUGUGCUACUAGAGCGGCCGAUGGCAGAUUAGGUAGUUGGCGGGAUAAAAGCUUACCAAGCCGACGAUCUGUAGCUGGUCUGAGAGGACGAUCAGCCACACUGGGACUGAGACACGGCCCAGACUCCUACGGGAGGCAGCAGUGGGGAAUUUUGGACAAUGGGCGCAAGCCUGAUCCAGCAAUGCCGCGUGCAGGAUGAAGGCCUUCGGGUUGUAAACUGCUUUUGUACGGAACGAAAAGGUGCCCGCUAAUACCGGGCGCUCAUGACGGUACCGUAAGAAUAAGCACCGGCUAACUACGUGCCAGCCGCCGCCGUAAAAC